ACGAACGCUGGCGGCGUGCUUAACACAUGCAAGUCGAACGGAAAGGCCCUGCUUUUGUGGGGUGCUCGAGUGGCGAACGGGUGAGUAACACGUGAGUAACCUGCCCUUGACUUUGGGAUAACUUCAGGAAACUGGGGCUAAUACUGGAUAGGAGCUCCUGCUGCAUGGUGGGGGUUGGAAAGUUUCGGCGGUUGGGGAUGGACUCGCGGCUUAUCAGCUUGUUGGUGGGGUAGUGGAUUACCAAGGCUUUGACGGGUAGCCGGCCUGAGAGGGUGACCGGCCACAUUGGGACUGAGAUACGGCCCAGACUCCUACGGGAGGCAGCAGUGGGGAAUAUUGCACAAUGGGCGGAAGCCUGAUGCAGCAACGCCGCGUGCGGGAUGACGGCCUUCGGGUUGUAAACCGCUUUCGCCUGUGACGAAGCGUGAGUGACGGUAAUGGGUAAAGAAGCACCGGCUAACUACGUG
rnacentral:rRNA from 1 species